rnacentral:rRNA from 1 species
GCUAGGAGGUUGGCUUAGAAGCAGCCACCCUUUAAAGAAAGCGUAAUAGCUCACUAGUCGAGUCGGCCUGCGCGGAAGAUGUAACGGGGCUCAAACUAGGAGCCGAAGCUGCGGAUUUAAUUGUUUCAAUUAAGUGGUAGGGGAGCGUUGUGUAAGCCUGUGAAGGUGCACUGUAAGGUGUGCUGGAGGUAUCACAAGAGCGAAUGCUGACGUGAGUAACGACAAAACGGGUGAAAAGCCCGUUCGCCGGAAGACCAAGGGUUCCAGUCCAACGUUAAUCGGGGCUGGGUGAGUCGACCCCUAAGGCGAGGCCGAAAGGCGUAGUCGAUGGGAAAUCGGUUAAUAUUCCGAUACUUGUUUAUGAUGCGAUGGAGGGACGGAGAAGGUUAUGCCAGCCUGGCGAUGGUUGUCCAGGUGGAAGGAUGUAGU